rnacentral:rRNA from 1 species
AUGGCGACGGCACCAAGCAAGGUUGUGGUGCUCAUGGCGUUCAUGGCCGCUGCGCUGAGCUCUGUGUCGAUGACCGCUGGGCCCGCCGGGCUGCAGCACGGUUUCUACAACUCGUCGUGCCCAAAAGCCGAGGACACGGUGAGGAACGUUGUCCAAGGCAUGAUCCGCAACGACCCCACCAUGGGCGCCGCCUUUGUUCGCCUCUUCUUCCACGAUUGCUUGGUCAGGGGUUGCGAUGCCUCCAUUCUGCUGGACCCGACGACCAGCAAGCCAGAGACUGAGAAAACAACAAUCCCCCUAUGCGGAUACGAUGCCGUGAACAAGAUCAAGGACGCCGUGGAGGCCGUCUGCCCGGGUGUUGUCUCCUGUGCCGACAUCCUGGCCUUUGCGGCACGUGACUCCACCUGUGCCUCAGGCGGGUUCACCUUCCACAUGCCAUCCGGGCGCCUGGACGGCUUCCAGUCAAUCGCCGACGAGGUCUUCCAGGGCAUCCCAUCCCCGCGUUUCAGCUCCAAGAACUUCUUGAUAGCUUCACCGCCAAGGGCCUCAACGCUGAGGACCUAG